rnacentral:rRNA from 1 species
AAGGGCUUCGGCUGUAAACCCCCUGUCAGCCGCGAACAAUGCUCACGACCUAAUACGUCGUGAGUUGAUAGUAGUGGCAGAGGAAGGGACGGCUAACUCUGUGCCAGCAGCCGCGGUAAUACAGAGGUCCCAAGCGUUGUUCGGAUUUACUGGGCGUAAAGGGUGCGUAGGUGGUCGGGUAAGUCUCAUGUGAAAUCUCCAAGCUCAACUUGGAAAUGGCAUGGGAUACUAUUCGGCUAGAGGAUUGGAGGGGGGACUGGAAUUCCCGGUGUAGCAGUGAAAUGCGUAGAUAUCGGGAGGAACACCAGUGGCGAAGGCGAGUCCCUGGACAAUUCCUGACGCUGAGGCACGAAAGCCGGGGGAGCAAACAGGAUUAGAUACCCUGGUAGUCCCGGCUGUAAACGGUGCUCACUUGCUGUAGACGGAAUCGACCCCGUCUGUGGCGAAGCUAACGCGUUAAGUGAGCCGCCUGGGGAGUACGGUCGCAAGAUUA